rnacentral:rRNA from 1 species
UACGGAGGGUGCAAGCGUUAAUCGGAAUUACUGGGCGUAAAGCGCACGUAGGCGGACGACUAAGUCGGAUGUGAAAUCCCUGGGCUUAACCUGGGAACUGCAUCCGAUACUGGUCGCCUAGAGUAUGGAAGAGGGAAGCGGAAUUCCAGGUGUAGCGGUGAAAUGCGUAGAUAUCUGGAGGAACAUCAGUGGCGAAGGCGGCUUCCUGGUCCAAUACUGACGCUGAGGUGCGAAAGCGUGGGGAGCAAAC